rnacentral:rRNA from 1 species
GGUUAAGAGCAUAUAAAUAAAAUAGGCUGCGGGGCUAUACAUGCAAGUCGAGCGGAUUGAUGGGAGCUUGCUCCCAGCAUAUCAGCGGCGGACGGGUGAGUAACACGUGGGUAACCUGCCUGUAAGACUGGGAUAACUCCGGGAAACCGGGGCUAAUACCGGAUAACUCAUUUCCUCGCAUGAGGAAAUGUUGAAAGAUGGCUUCUUGCUAUCACUUACAGAUGGACCCGCGGCGCAUUAGCUAGUUGGUGAGGUAACGGCUCACCAAGGCAACGAUGCGUAGCCGACCUGAGAGGGUGAUCGGCCACACUGGGACUGAGACACGGCCCAGACUCCUACGGGAGGCAGCAGUAGGGAAUCUUCCGCAAUGGACGAAAGUCUGACGGAGCAACGCCGCGUGAGUGAUGAAGGUUUUCGGAUCGUAAAACUCUGUUGUUAGGGAAGAACAAGUACCGUUCGAAUAGGGCGGUACCUUGACGGUACCUAACCAGAAAGCCACGGCUAACUACGUGCCAGCAGCCGCGGUAAUACGUAGGUGGCAAGCGUUGUCCGGAAUUAUUGGGCGUAAAGCGCGCGCAGGUGGUUUCUUAAGUCUGAUGUGAAAGCCCACGGCUCAACCGUGGAGGGUCAUUGGAAACUG